rnacentral:rRNA from 1 species
GGUGGUCAUAGAGGAGGGGGUACACCCGACCCCAUUCCGAACUCGGAAGUUAAGCCCUCUUUCGCCG